rnacentral:rRNA from 1 species
AUGGCCAAGCAUGCCAUUGACUAUAGUGUGUUUGGUGGGCCACAAAAUUUUGGCAAGUCGUUGGAUGUGCAUUUAGCUCCAUCUUGUUCCGCCGAGGCUAGGGCACCUGUUGAGCACCUAGUUGCGCAGUUUGCUUCCGGCAUGACCAACUUGCUUGGGAACUUGGUCGAGGGUUGGAUACCAUUGAAUGGUUCUAAUAGUGACGUGGCUGCGAGGCAGUUCACAUCUUUUGUCGGAGAACGCACACAUCGUCCAACUGGCUGCCGUGGCUGGUACGACUACAACAGUUCUCAGGAGCUCCCUGACACUCAAUAG